rnacentral:rRNA from 1 species
GGGCCAGACUCCUACGGGAGGCAGCAGUGGGGAAUAUUGCACAAUGGGGGGAACCCUGAUGCAGCGACGCCGCGUGGGUGAAGAAGUCAUUCGUGACGUAAAGCCCUAUCAGCAGGGAAGAAAAUGACGGUACCUGAAGAAGAAGCCCCGGCUAACUACGUGCCAGCAGCCGCGGUAAUACGUAGGGGGCAAGCGUUAUCCGGAUUUACUGGGUGUAAAGGGGGCGCAGACGGCGAUGCAAGCCUGGAGUGAAAGCCCGGGGCCCAACCCCGGGACUGCUCUGGAAACUGCGGCGCUGGAGUACGGGAGGGGCAGGCGGAAUUCCUGGUGUAGCGGUGAAAUGCGUAGAUAUCAGGAGGAACACCGGCGGCGAAGGCGGCCUGCUGGACCGUGACUGACGUUGAGGCUCGAGAGCGUGGGGAGCAAACAGGAUUAGAUACCCUCGUAC